GAUGAAGAACGCAGCGAAACGCGAUAAGUAGUGUGAAUUGCAGAAUUCAGUGAAUCAUCGAAUCUUUGAACGCACAUUGCGCCCCUUGGUAUCCCGAGGGGCAUGCCUGUUCGAGCGUCAUUUCACCACUCAAGCCUGGCUUGGUGUUGGGCGACGUCCUCUUUGGGGACGCGCCUCGAAACGCUCGGCGGCGUGGCACCGGCUUUAAGCGUAGCAGAAUCUUUCGCUUUGGAAGUCGGGGCCCCGUCUGCCGGAAGACCUGCUCGCAAGGUUGACCUCGGAUCAGGCAGGGAUACCCGCUGAACUUAAGCAUAUCAUAAGCGGAGGA
rnacentral:misc_RNA from 1 species